GCUCUGAUAGCUCAGUGGUAGAGCGCGUCCUUGGUAAGGACGAGGUCGCGGGUUCAAUCCCCGCUCAGAGCU
rnacentral:tRNA from 1 species